ensembl:lncRNA
CUGGUCUCUCAGAAGCAGGGAGAGAGCACCAUACAUCUUGCAGCAUGUCCUUACCAGCUCGGAAAGCUUUGCCCUUGCAUUACUGCCAGUAAACUGUUCCUAACAUUUGUUACGCUUUAUAUUAAUGGAUGCUACAUUUUCCCAUUUCAUACCCUACCAAACAGCAUGAUGGGAUGACAGCAUCAAACAGGUAGUAGGCAGAAGUGAUGCAUGAAAACUACCCUUAGCUGGAGAGCCAUACUGUUUUUUCCGCUUUCUUACAGUGGCUGUUGGUUGUUCUUAAUCACCUGCCUCACGCAGGCAGGCACUGGCUGGGGAGCUAAGGGAAGGGCUGAGUCCAAAACACAUGGUAACUAAGCAGCAGGACUUGAGACGCUGUCUGGAAAAACAACAGAGACUCACCUCCUACUAUUUUUCUUCCAGGGAAGCAGCUCCCAUUGCGCCAUUUUCCUGGCAGAAGAAGUUAUGAUCUUCAGGAAAAAGCUUCUUUCAGAGUGGGUUAUGUUUUAAUUUGUUGUUGUUGCUGUUGUUUUCAAGCUGUGUAUGUGUGAGGAAAUGGCAUGGAGUGGAGGGGGGAAGUUGUCUCUGACAUCUGCAGGUUCAUCUUGGAAAGAGUGGAAGGAGGGAGGACUGAAGUACAUGGCCUGCAUCUGUUCCAAGAGGAACCCGAACAGAAGGAGGUUGUACUUCUUUUCCUGUUUGUACUUCUGGAGAUGAUGCCAUUAAUUAUGUGUUUACAACACUUCAACUCUUCUUCCUAGCUUAGGCUCAAAGCUCAUAGUCCUGACUCAGCUCCAAAAAUCCACUGAGGUAGGUGGGACAGUCGUUCUGACACAAUAUUUAAUAUCAGGCCUAAAGGCUGGAUCUAGUCAAAGAAAAACAUCUACUCUAUGAAAGCAAAUGUAUCUUAUAAACGGUAGAAGCUGCUCCCCACUCACUGGAUGCUGAAGACAGAGGAUGGUUGUACUUCCUCAGCCAUCAUCAUCCAUAGCAUUUACUGUGGGGAUGACAGCUGUCUCCUGAUAAUGAUUUCCCUAGCACAGCAAUGUCCAGCCAGCAGCCAGAUUUCACCAAGAAUCUGUGAGGGACACCUUGAGAACUCACUGAGAAUUGCAGUUACUUCCUCUGAACCAGACUGACGUGUUAGUUUCACAAAAACAAGGUCACAUAUCCCACUGGUUUUAUGUUUUUGUUGUUCUCUUCUUUAUAUGUUUUAAUAGAAGAACAUUAAAAAUUAAAGUAAGUUUUGUCACUUAUAUACAUUAUCAAUAUUAUAAGAGCUGCUCCAAAAGUAAUACCUCCUGCUUUAUGGUGUCAGCUCAGGAUGUCAGAGGUGGGCAUUGGUGGUAUGGCAGAAGUUGAACCUUCCCACCACAAUUCCAUUACGUUUUGUUGCUGUGUGACAGAUGGCAGCAGAGGGACGGUCUGACACAAUGAAGUCUGACAUGGAAGUGCAUAUGAAGCAAAGGUGUGUAAUUGAAUUCCUUCAUGUGGAGAAAAUGGCACCCACUGACAUUCAUUGGCACUUGCUGGAGACUAAACCAUGGAUGUGAGCACAGUGAGGUGGUGGCUGGUACAUUUCAGCAGUGAUGACAGCAACAGUGAGUGACCUCAACUAGUGCAGAUUGUUACGAGCACAGCAUGCGGGCUUUUGUUCAUUUUGUUAAUUGUUUAUUUACAACUAAUGGUGGUGACUGCGUUGAAAAAGAGUGUUUUAUAGCUGAGAAUAUUCUCUGUUCAGUAGUGUUAUUGUGCUCUCUGUAUCUGAGGUAGUUUCCAUGGAAACAAUUAGGAGGCAUUACUUUCAGAGCAGCCCUCAUAGAUGCAGCCCUACACAAUUCCUCUUCACUCAAUGCAGCCAGGCAAGCCAAAAGGUUGAACACCCAUUUCUUGGCACGAACAGGAUAAAGGACAUCCUUUCUUCUGAAACUACUCCUUCUCUUAAAAGCUUGAUGAAAUAUUUCGUUCAAAUUUUAAGGUGACAAAAGCAGAUGAAUAAUUCUCAUUUAAUACUGUUUACUGUGGACUUCUUUUCACAUCCUAUGGUGAUUUCCCUUUUUUUUUCCAUCAGUUUGAUUACAGCCAGUCAGCCAUAAUUCAAGCAUCCUGGCAUGCACCAGCUAGUGUCACAGCAGUGUCCUUGGGAGGCCAGGCUUUCAAAGGAUGCAGUGAGUGCUUCUGAAAAGAAGCAAAUUUAAUGUCUUAAAGCUACCUUGAGAAUCACAGAACAUUGUUUGUACACUCACACUGUGCCCUAGCAAAUGCUCUUCAUCUUGCAUGAAUGGAGAUAUGCUGUACCCAUAUAUGUAAGCCAGUUAAUUGCUUCUGGAGUUCGCUUUAAAAAAAUUACUUCUAAAUGACAGGAUUCACAUAAACAGAGCAAUCUGAUGCCUGAACCUGUGCUUCAAAAAGACACCUUAAAUUUCGGUGAUAAGGAGCUUGUAUGAAAGCUUGUAAUUGAAAGCUGGAGUGAAUUAGGCAUGUAUGCAGAUAUGUGUAUUAGAAUGUGCUACAGUGAGGGAUGCCCUGCCAACAGAUCCCUGUGCCUUUGUGCAGUUUUGGUAGAGAAUGAUGGAAAGUUGCACAGAAUCAGAGGUUGCCACAGCAGUAUCUUUGAAACCCUCUUUUAAUAUUCAUGAAAGAGUCAUAAAAAACUUUUUUGAAUGAUAGCAUAUUUAAUGACAGUCACUGAGUCAUAUGAAACCAAUCUUCUUUUUCAUAUAACAAACAAACUGAGACAUCUGUCCUAUAAAAUAACAGUAGGCUGUGUCUCAUGAAGACACUGUUUUGGAUUGAUGUGAAUCUAAAUGAACAAAAACUGAUACUCGGGUUUUCAGUUUUGUAACUGAUUUCCUAUAGUUUAAUCCCCUGACAUGUGAAUGCAUCCCUAUCUGUACAGUAGUGUUUCGUGUAAUAUUUGAAGCAGAUUUUCAAUACCUCACACAGAAAAUACUGACUCAGCUUCACUGUUAGUGUGAAAAGAACGAACAGUUUCUUUCUCACAGCCUGCUGACAUAACGGUCUUCCCUUGGAGUAUUUCAGUCCUUGCUCAUCUUGGGAUUAAUGGAACCAGUACUUACAGCUGCAGUGCCAGAGGCAGGACCCAUAUAUUUCUUUGACCAGAUGAAAGCUAGAAUGAAAGAGAGGGACAGGGAGAUAUCAGGAGAAGUGUCCUCGUAUUGCCACGCGCUCACUACAAAUCCUCAUUCCAUCAGCUGUACUCCCAGGUAAUGGUGUCAUGUCAGUAGUGGUGGGAGCAGGCAAGUUUCUGUAAACUAGUUUUUCAGGAAAGGCACAAAUGAGUCCUGAGGUAGAUGUGGUCAAGGCAGAAUGGGGUAGCUGGGGAGGUGAAUGACCAGAGGUGAUACCCUGCCAUGCAGUGGGAGGAGAGGGAGACAAGUGGGAAGGUGGUAGUGUCCUGUACCGACUCCUCACUUCUUGAGGUGUGUUACCUAAUAUUCAUUUCUGCUGUCAACAUUUCAUGAGUUUAAUAUGUUUAAUGUACAAAUCUUGAACUAAGAGUCUUGAGCACUGCAUUUCAGCAGGCAUAGUUCAAAGUGUACACUGUCAGUGCAGAUGUUCCCUGGUUUGGCAAUGGCUGCACUAGAUUGUCUCCUGCUGCUCUGCACAAGUAUUUCAGAGCUUGAUCUAGGAGCGUCCUUGGGAGGAAAUGUGGUGCAGUCUCAACUGUGAAAGGGGCACUGCCAGCCUCUGCAUGUUGGUUUGAGGCAGCAAAACUGUUCUGUGUGUCCUUUAAUUGUUAUUGCUCUCACUGAACUAUCCAGCUGUUUUUACUCCUCGGCCUGACUGAAGGCAGGAAUCCCUUCUGCGCAGGGGAGUAUACAGAAAGACAUGAAGAUGGUUUCUUAAAUGUUGAUACAAAAAAAAGAGAAAGAUCCAGUUUUGCAUCAAAUAUCUCAUCAUUCCCUGUAUAAAACCACUACAGAGGACUCAAACCCAAAGGUCUCCCAACGUGCUCUGAUCCCACAGGCAGACAAGGACUCACUCACCACUUAACAUGUUGAAUAAGUCUGCAUCUGCAACUUGGGGAGAAGUGGCAGCUCCUGGCUAGGUAUCAGACUGGUUUUCCACUGGAACUUGUAACUGUGCUUACCUGCAGCUGGAGGGAACUCACUGUGAGGGCUGAUUUCUGUAAACGGCAGCAGAAGUUGCUAUCAUACAGAAGCAUGAGAUCCAGGAGAAGCCAGGCCUCAGAGGAGGUUAAGAAUAGUACUCUGGCAUCCAAAUGUAAGGAGCAUGAAAUCACUGCCAUCAGAAAAGAACAACACAAGAAAGGCUUUAUUCUAUCAGCCUGCACUACAAAGGGAGAAAUAAAUCCUGAGACAGCAUCAAAUGCACCUUCAGAAAGUGAAGGUAAUACAGUGCUGCACAAAUGUGCUGUGUUGUAACGUUUGGCCAAAAAAAAGGAAAAAAGUGCUUUCUGUUAAGAAUACACCAUUGGCUGGAUAGGCCAAUGUGCUCCAGCUUAUAACUUGAUAUACUGCAGUUCUUUGCAAAGCACUAGUUUAGGACAUGAUGAAAUAGCUUUGCAGCUGAAGCAAGAGGUACAAACACUUGAGAAGAACAAAGCCGGUGAAACUGGGCAAUGUUUCAAGUCAUUUAGCAAAGCAUUUUUAGUCUCCUCUUUCAAGGUGAGUGAUAGAGUCAUAACACAUUGCACCAGUAGAGAAGAUUUGCAUCUAAAGCAUUUCAUUCUGCGAGUAUCAGUGAUUGCAAGUGCUGAACCUAGUGUUGGGAAGAAGCCUGUUACAGUUCUCCAGGUAAUACUCACCUCUUUAAAAAGAAAUCAAUAUUAAUUUUUAAAAGCAGACUUACCUUUCCAUGUGUGUUCCUAAGCACUGCAUUCUCCUUUCUUUGUGUUUAUCUCCUGCUGCGCAAAAUGAUGCUGACCAGUCACCCAUCACAGUCAGCUUCUCACUUUCAUCCAACAUUUGUGAGGAACAAGGUUUGAUUUUCCAGCUUUCUAACCCAAAGUCUGAAGAAGUUCAUCAGAAUCUGCCUUAUGUGUGGACCCUGGUGAGACCUGAGCAAGUUCAAAAACAAAUGUAACAAACUGAGAUUUUUACCUCCAUAAACAAAGUUAGAGUAUAUGGCAAUGUUUUUAUGAGGUGGAACACUUAACCAAACCAACAGACUAUAUGGGGGAGUGUUACUGCUCUGAAAACUCCCAGAGUUCAGUUUAGCACUUCACUAUUAAUGAAAGGGAAACAUACUUUUAUUUCUGUUGGUGGUAAUGGAAGAAAAUAAUUAUCCCAACAGAAGCAUUUUCAGAGAUUAGUGGUGAGACAAUAAUUUUGAUUAAUCUGAAGAUAAACUUCCCAGUAGUUAUGAAAACCUGACUGUAUAUCUUUUGCAAUAGCAACCAUGGCGCAUUAAGGCUAUUUAGUAUUAUGAAAAUAUGCAGUGAUCUGUAGCCUGUUUACUUGUCAGGGCCUGAGUGAGGGCUGCCAUAAGAUAAUGUGGCCAGAAUCAGGCCAUGAGACUUCUUCAUGCUGUUUAUGCUUAAACCUUCUGUUUUUACAUAGCACGAGAUGGACUUACAACCCUGACGACUCAUCACAUAGAGUUAGCCACGUGUUAAAAAUGUAUGGUGGCCUCCAAGUUAGUCGGUCAUUCUUUAUACUGACUAUAUUGCUAAGAUAGUUUCAAAGGAAAGCAGGAGAUGUCUGAAAUAGCUAAGAUCUGCCCUGCCUGGAUCAAUUAUCUGAAGAAGAAGUGCUGGCAUUUUAUAAACGAGGCAAAGUUUAAGUGAAAAAAUAUUCUGAUAGCUAUAAGCAUUAAUUACCUACAGCAACAGUUACUAAAAGUUAACCUGUGUAAUUUAUCUACAGCACAGUAUCUGAAUUUCAGCUGUUAUAUGUAGUACUAUUUAAAUGAUAGUUCCUGUACACUGGCAAAAAAAAAUUAAAAACAUAUUCAGAUUGAGUGAAAUCAGCACUGUGUUGCAGGUGAAAAUUGGUGAGAAUAGGUUUAGCAGCUAGUGGCUGUGUAAGAACUGGCACUUAUCAGUAAGAAUGUACAUGCUACCAUGUAUAUAGCACAUUGUAAAAUAUAGUUAUUUUAUUAUAAUAUGCAUAUUAUUCCCGGAAUGCGUCUUGGUCACUGCUUUAAUCCUUGGGGAACUGAGUACCCUAAAGUCCAGGAUAAUUGCUUUUGGAGCAAAAGUUGGAGUUGGCUUUGCUUCACCAACCUCUGUCUGCCUCCAAUAGCUGUAUAAUGUGAUUGCAAAACAAAGCAAAAGAAAAGCAAUGUGACAAUUAAGCUUAAAUAAAAUACUUAAUUAAAAUACUUGUGGCUUAUCCUGGAAACAGUCUAUGUUCUGAUCAUUAAAAUGAGCGUUGUUGUCUUCCCACCCACAAGACAUGCCAUGUCCUAUACAUACCUCUUUUAGAGAACACACUAAAAUGUAAGUAUCUGUUACUUACUCUUCCAAACUGUGGGCUUUGAUAUAGGCCAGCGUGUAAUUGUUAAGAACUGAUAGAGCUCAUGCAGGUGCUGAGAAUGCAUUUCCUUACCUCUGGCACAACUAUUCUGGAGUCCACCAUAUCGCUGUUCCCAAAAGCUCAGCAGUCUGUUGACUUAAUUAUCUAAUUGAAGGCAACAUUUAUGCCACAAAUAGUGGUAGGGUCUCCUAACAAGAAAAGUGUUCCUUCUCACAGUAUCUGAGCAUGUUUCCUUUCCAGCAUUUGCAGACCCUAUUGGCCCAUUAGGUUGGAAGUAAAACGAUGCCCCUCAUCUUGCAGUACUCCAGUGCUGUUGCCAGAUUUCUGUGUCAGUGCUGUGGAAGUUGGCUUUGUGUUCCUGAAUAACUGUGCUUAGCAUAGUCAGCAAAAACUUUAUACUGAGCAAUAUUUAAUGGCAAAAUUUAAACAGCAAGAAAUAUUGGAUCGAAGACAAAAAUGUUCCUUUGAUUUCUAUCAGCUAAUGUUUUACAUAAUUAGCUUUCCUCAAAAUUGACUGGCUUUUUUGCUCUUUCUUUUUUUUUCUUUAAUGGCUUUAUUUGUCUAGUGCUACUAGAUGAUCUGCAUGGUUUUUUGGUAACUGCUUAAAGAGCAAAAAAAGGCAUGCAUGGACUCAUAUACACAUGUAAAACAGUACAUAUAGAAAGUCUAAUUGAAAAGAACGUCAGCCAAAGGCUGUCAGGACUAACAAGCUGUCUGCUAGAUUUGGGGCCAUUCAGCCAGCCUCAAACUCUGCCUCUGUGCUUCUUUCUUAUGAUCAGGGACUGAAAUAGAUACGAAGAAAAUCUUAAAGGAAAUUUUAAACUGUUUUAAUAUUGUUGUUUCUCUGAAAGGUGAAAUGAAUAAUAGGAAAAAAAGAAUAACACAGUGAGUGCAUGUAAUCCAGGAUGGUGAAAGUGACCUACUGAUGGACAGAUCUGCAGCAGAGAUACUGGCCCUUGCUGUCAGUGGAUCUCUGCUAUGUGUGGGUGUGGAGGAUUGGUGCAGUCAGUUCUAUUGCCAGCUUAACCACAGGUGACCUGCGUGAUCUUGAGUAACUUAUUUGACUCCUUUGUAUAUGAGAGCAAUGUGUGAUAUUUUAUAGCUGAGAAACUACCGUAUGUUUUCUGCUUAGGUCAAACUUCAUUCUUAAUCAAGAGAAGCCUUGCCUGAGGAUUCCACUUAGCAAGAACUAAUCGAAGUUAUAUUUUUUUUCCUCCCUCAUGUAAACAGAAAAGAGCAAGCAUUUAACCUGAAAGAAGUUGGGUUUGACAAACCAAUUAUUCUACAGCAUUAUGGUGAUUACAGAGGAGAAACUUUCCCCAGGACAUGGAAGGUUCAGGCUGGCAGGACUGUCACAUCAAAGCUGCCAUAUGACAAACCUCAGAUUCCAGUGGUCAAGAGAGCAAACACAGCACAGAGAAAACUGCACUACAGACUGAAUGAUGGCUCAUCCUUCAUUUAUCUCAUUUUAGCUAUCCAUCUGAAUAUCUUGCGGUUUGCCAGAGCUGCUGCAAUCUCCCAUGUAGGGGGAUGUAUACCAACAUAUUUAGCCCUUCUCCAGAUCAUUCUAUAGGUGGAACUUUCACCUCUUUUGGACAUGGCAGCAUCUAUCUUCCUAACAGCAACACUGUAACCAUGAUGUUUAAUCAGGAAGGAGGUCUGGUGACUAAUGAAGAUGAAGAAAUGGUCAGAGAAUGGAAAUGGCCUCGGGAUGGCAAGCUGGCCCAGCCAGUUAUAGCACGGGUUAAUGAAUUCAUCACAGUGAGGAUUGCAGGACGCUUUGCAAUUAGCUUGGUCUACAAGUGGCAACAUGAAAGUAUGUGCUUGUCUUUGUCACGGCCGCGGGGUGCGGCUCUUCCGCGGUUAGAAGAAUCGGUAUGUUGCAACUGCUGCAGUACUGCACUUUAUCAACUUUGUUCUGCAGAUUCUGGAACUGAUGAGCUUUUCUAUAAAAUAUGCUUCCCGAUGUUAGCACUAAGAGCAGUGCUACAGAGUGAUCAAAUUAGGCCUUCCGGAGAGUGAAUAAAAAGCAGAUUUAUGCUGAUGACUACCUACUACAGAUCUGGCCCAAAGGGACACAGCUUUCCACGCGCUUAGAUUCCUAUUUAUGCUUCCUCCCCCCCCCCAGACUUAGCCCAGUACGAGGUGGUUAUACCUUUUUGUGCUGCAGAUGGUGUACUGAAUGAUGCCCUAAGAAAUCCUGAUCCAAAUCUUCCUUUCCUUCAUUUCUGUGCAGUGAGCUGGCUGUCUAUCUAGGUUUAUCAUCUAGCCAAAGCCUGAUAUCUUCAUGUCUUUCAGUUCAAUGUUGGGUUGAAAUACAUGUUGUUAGAACAGAUUUUUGUGUGUGUGUGAUUUUGGGGUCAGGAAAAAAUAGUUAUGAAACAAUUGUUGGAAAAGCAGAAGAAAUCUGUCAUCCAAGUAAAACAAAAAUAAAACAGAUCACGCUGGUUCAGAGUUAAUUUCCUUCUCCCUGUAAGUAUUUAGUCUAGAAAUUGUAGAAACAGACACUGUGGAUUUGUAAUAGGCAUGUAUAUACAUAUCAUUGAGUUUAAAAGAAAUUUAGAUUAACUCCUAAACUUCUGAGAAGUUAAAUUUGUCAGAGUUUUUAAAUGGCUUUUCAUAAAAGAAGUAUUUCACUAUAUGUAGCACAUAGGCUUAGGUGUUAGGAUGUGGCCCAUCGAGCAACUUCAAGUAGCAUCACCAUCAUUAGCUGAAAAACCUGACUUCUCACUCAGGCACAUUUCCACUGAUGUGGGAAAGGAAAUGUUCUAAAUGAGGGAAGAUAAAGGUAGUAAAUGAAC